CACAGACCAGACAUCUUAUGUUUAUUACUGAAUUGGGAGAAUAAAAAAAAACAGUUUUCUCUUAAAAUCCCAUCUAUAGUUAUGGAAUAGAAUGGUAGCAAUGUAAUUGGCCUGAGAGAAAUAGAUGUUGAAUGCAGGGCUCCCUUUAAAUGGAACUUCUACCUUUGCAGGUAACCCAGAAGGUGGCUGCUUAAACAGCAGUUCUGCAAUGCAAUGCACUGUUCUGUAUCAGUUGUAUUAUAAAGAGGAACAAUCCCAAAAUCCGGUUCAACUGAGUUUCCAUCAACACACUACAGACUGCCAUUUGUGCAGCCCAAGGUUUGACAUGGCAUGCACAUAAGUUAACCGCAUGGAGACAUCAUCAUGACUGAAAUAAACAGUGGUUGUCUAGACAGAGACAGUGAUAAAUUCCAGAAGAUUAUCUACAGCCUGCAGAUACAAGUACCUCCAUUGUUUAUUUUUGGAAGCUGUAAUGAGCAGGCAUUAGCUUGCUCACCAGAGACAUAUUUAAGAAUUAUUCACCUGUUUCUAUGAAUUUCAUCAUAUUCUGAUAGCAGCAGAAAAUAUGCUGGGAAUGAGUAAGUAUACAAUUUGUUUGGAGUAUUUCACUGAUUUUACUGCUGCACAUGUAGUCAUUAGAAUUAUAUGGCAUUUAGGGUAAGGAAAUCAAAUACAAACCUGUACAGUAAAGGAGGCUAUAUAUACCAACAAAAUAGACCCUGGCUAUCAUGGCAAAUUUUGGAUAGUUUUUGUUUGCUAAAAUGCAUCUCAUCACAAAAUGUAAACAUUUUUUUUUGUAAAGACAGCCUCAUAUGUACAAUACAAUACUACAGUAUGCACUUUUUUAAAGCCAAGUGUACACGAGAUAGAUGGUAACUGACAUUAAUCCUGGUGGGAACAAAGGGUUCGAGCUUGUUGAUUCCCUUCUUCCCGCUUUGCUUUCCAUGAACAUUCCACUAUACUAACAUAUACAAUAAACUCAGUAAUAUGCAUUAAAUUAUUUUUCUUUUGGAUCUAAUCCAAAAAUAUCCUUACAGAAGCAUUUCAGUUUAUUGGGGUUGUUUUUGGCUAUGCAUUGCUAACAUCAGUAUUCCUCAAGUGUCAUCUGUUUCAUCUCAGCCUUGCUGCAUCCAUAUUUAAUUACUGCAGCUUGGUCAGGUGAGCUCCAGUCUGACAAUUAGUAUGAAAGUCAAAUGCUGUAAUAUGUAGACAGAAAGUCAGUCUCUCCAGUGUGGCUGACUUCCUGUGAAUCACAGGAUUACUUAAUCACUAAUGAGAUCCCUCUUGGAAGCUCAGAGUUCUCCCCUCCCAGUUCCACCCUAUUCGUUCUAUUUGUUCCUCUGUGUGUCUCCACAUGCACAGAGUGCUGCUGAAGAUACAAUUUCUGCCCUCUCAAGAGACUAGAAAAGCAGUGACAGUAGGUAAGGCUAUACAGUGAUUAGUUGCAGAGUUAUACACCUUCCCUGAUCACACUGUCUCUGUUUGCCGAUUCUCUAGUAUUUCCUCUGAGAUGGUGCCUAUAAAAUGCUCUCCUGUGAUCUUCAGUAACAUCUUCUGUUAGGGUAUGUUCACUCUGAGGAAUUGGAGAGGAAUUUCCACAAGUAAUUCUGCUCGCUUUUUCCUCUCCAAAUUCAGCAGUGAAAACCCCA